rnacentral:rRNA from 1 species
UACGGAGGAUCCAAGCGUUAUCCGGAUUCAUUGGGUUUAAAGGGUGCGUAGGCGGAAUGAUAAGUCAGUGGUGAAAGCCUGCAGCUUAACUGCAGAACUGCCAUUGAUACUGUCAAUCUUGAGUACAUUUGAUGUGGGCGGAAUGUGUCAUGUAGCGGUGAAAUGCUUAGAUAUGACACAGAACACCGAUUGCGAAGGCAGCUCACAAAACUGUAAACUGACGCUGAGGCAACG